UUGCAUGAGAUAAACACUCGGCCUGAUUCCCAAUUCCACAGUCCUCUUUUCCAGGAUUUGGCGCCUCCUCUCGCCUCUAGGAUACGGCCUUGUGGGUCUAUCCUGCAAGGGAGGACACUGGCCAGGGCAGAAGGAUGGAGCCCGGCUGUUUGGUGUUCAUAUGGGGCUCAGCCCCACACUCAGUGCUCAGGCAAACAUAGUGAACGUUCCCAAAACCUGUUGGACUUUCUGUAAGAAGAGUGGCAAGCACCAACCCCACAAAGCGACACAGUACAAAAGGGCAAGGAUUCUCUGUGUGCCCAGGGAGAGCGGCGUUAUGACGGGAAGCAGAGUGGCCAUGGUGGGCACACUAAGCUGAUUUUCCAGAAAAAGCCUAGAACUAGAAAAAAGAUUUGCUAAUGCUUAAGUGUGUGGAGCCCAACUGCAGAUCUAAGAGAAUGCUGGCUAUUAUUUCUUUUCUUUUAUGAAGACAAUAAAAUCUUGAGUUUAUGUU